UGCUAGCUUCAUAUAUUCCAAAAAUCAAAGUAAAAGCUGUAACAACGAAAUUUGUAACAAGAUUUUAAGCAUUGGUUAUUCAACACACAUUUGAUGUCUAAAAUGGCUUAAAAUCCCCAACCAGUGCAAAAGAAGUCCAUUGAUAACCAUAGUAAAGUAAAAAGUUCACAAAUGGAUUGGGUAUUGCCACCGGGUGCUUUUUCCACCUUCUAUUUAUUUGACAAAUUUAGAAUUUAUGAUGGACCGACACCAGUGGAUGUUCUAGGGGUUCCUGAGGGAUGCUUGCUUUCUGGCAUGUGCGAGCUGUACAAUCGUAAUAAAAAUGCACAACAUGGCACAGCUCCUCCUCCGGACGGGACACACAAAAGGCAGAUCUGAGGACGACUUAGAGCUUACUUAGACAUGUUAACUGCUGCGAGGACUCUUUGUCUCUACACCUAAAAAAAAAAAGGAGGACAGAGCGAAACUUGCGGCGGCUACAAAUUUAAUGCGCUUACGAUAAAUUUUUAUUAUGCCAGCGAAUGCUGCCGUUAAAAUUGGAUAUUGAAGACCCCACCUAGGGAUGGAUGUGCGGAGUAGGAGCAGUAGCAGGAGCAGGAGCAGGAGCAGGAGCAGGAGGGUGAGGAUGCGGCAGGAUAGCUUGCGAAAAAUUUGAAUUUUCCGCCAUAAUCGUAACUUGUCCCCGUUGGCAGGCACUUUAAAGUCUUUACUUUUGCACUUGCACUCAGUACGUGCCUUGUUUUUUUGCCCUUGUUUAUGCCUUAAUGUGUCCAUUAAAUGCAGGACUUGGUGGCCAGGCUGUGGGCUCUCGA